rnacentral:lncRNA from 1 species
CAUCAUCAGGCAAACAAAACAUUUUUUAAUAAAAAUGACAAAAGAACCUUGAAUAUAUCAUGUUAAGAAUAUUGCUAUAGUUACAGUAAACAAAAAAUAAACAAAAUAAAUAUUAAAAUAAACUAAAAUUAAAAUAAAAUAAAUAUUCAAAAAUGGUAAUAAACGUGUAUUAUCAGGCAUCAUUUUCCCUGUCUAACCUACUUAUCGUAUUUCUAUGGUCUAUCAUUAUGUUUGCACCAUCCCAUGUUUUUCAUGCAUUAGCUGAUUCCUUAAAUAGAUACUUUCAUGGCAAUGGUAACUCUAGUGCUGGCCUAUCAUUAAUUAGAUUUUCUUGUUUUUGCUUUCUUAAAAUCUCAAUAGUCUCCUCAAUUAUGGCCUGGGAUUUAAUAGCGAGUGGUUUAAUUAUUUUGGCUUGAUCCCAUUCUACUUUAAUGUCAUUAUGGUAUGCCUUUACUCCCAGAGCUGUGUUUAGUUUUCCUGCUGCAAUGUUUUUUUA